AUUGAAGAGUUUGAUCAUGGCUCAGGAUGAACGCUGGCGGGGUGCCUAACACAUGCAAGUCGAGCGGGAAAUUUUAAAAUGAAGCUUCGGUAGAUUUUUAAGAUGGAGAGCGGCGGACGGGUGAGUAACGCGUAGGCAACCUGCCCUUUGCAGAGGGAUAGCCAUUGGAAACGAUGAUUAAAACCUCAUAAUACUAAAUAGUCACAUGGCUGUUUGGUCAAAGAUUUAUCGGCAAAGGAUGGGCCUGCGUCUGAUUAGCUAGUUGGUGGGGUAACGGCCUACCAAGGCGACGAUCAGUAGCCGACCUGAGAGGGUGAUCGGCCACAUUGGAACUGAGACACGGUCCAAACUCCUACGGGAGGCAGCAGUGGGGAAUAUUGCACAAUGGGCGAAAGCCUGAUGCAGCAACGCCGCGUGAAGGAAGAAGGUCUUCGGAUCGUAAACUUCUGUCCUUGGGGAAGAUAAUGACGGUACCCUUGGAGGAAGCCCCGGCUAACUACGUGCCAGCAGCCGCGGUAAUACGUAGGGGGCAAGCGUUAUCCGGAAUUAUUGGGCGUAAAGAGUGCGUAGGUGGUUACUUAAGCGCGGGGUUUAAGGCAAUGGCUCAACCAUUGUUCGCCCUGCGAACUGGGUUACUUGAGUGCAGGAGAGGAAAGCGGAAUUCCUAGUGUAGCGGUGAAAUGCGUAGAUAUUAGGAGGAACACCAGUGGCGAAGGCGGCUUUCUGGACUGUUACUGACACUGAGGCACGAAAGUGUAGGGAGCAAACAGGAUUAGAUACCCUGGUAGUCCACACCGUAAACGAUGAGCACUAGGUGUCGGGGUCGCAAGACUUCGGUGCCGCAGUUAACGCAUUAAGUGCUCCGCCUGGGGAGUACGUACGCAAGUAUGAAACUCAAAGGAAUUGACGGGGACCCGCACAAGCAGCGGAGCAUGUGGUUUAAUUCGAAGCAACGCGAAGAACCUUACCAGGACUUGACAUCCUCCUGACCGCUCUUUAAUAGGAGCUUUCCUUCGGGACAGGAGAGACAGGUGGUGCAUGGUUGUCGUCAGCUCGUGUCGUGAGAUGUUGGGUUAAGUCCCGCAACGAGCGCAACCCUUGUCAUUAGUUGCCAUCAUUAAGUUGGGCACUCUAGUGAGACUGCCGGGGAUAACUCGGAGGAAGGUGGGGAUGACGUCAAAUCAUCAUGCCCCUUAUGUUCUGGGCUACACACGUGCUACAAUGGUCGGUACAAAGAGACGCGAAGUCGCGAGGCGGAGCAAAUCUCAAAAGCCGAUCCCAGUUCGGAUUGUAGGCUGCAACUCGCCUACAUGAAGUUGGAGUUGCUAGUAAUCGCGGAUCAGAAUGCCGCGGUGAAUGCGUUCCCGGGUCUUGUACACACCGCCCGUCACACCACGGAAGUUGGGGGUGCCCAAAGUUGGCAGGAUAAUAUGUUACCUAAGGCAAAACCGAUGACUGGGGUGAAGUCGUAACAAGGUAACC
rnacentral:rRNA from 2 species